rnacentral:rRNA from 1 species
CGUAGGAUCACCGAAGUUAAGCAACGUCGAGCCUAGUCAGUACCUAGAUGGGUGACCGCUUUGAAAUACCAGGUGCUGUAAG